rnacentral:sRNA from 1 species
AUGUACCACUCGCACACUCCGAUUCCUCCGCGACGCCUGCACUCGCCUGAUGACUGCUCGCCACGCUUUCGGAGCC